rnacentral:rRNA from 1 species
AGGACGAACGCUGGCGGCGUGCUUAACACAUGCAAGUCGAGCGGUAAGGCCUCUUCGGGGGUACACGAGCGGCGAACGGGUGAGUAACACGUGGGUGACCUGCCCUCAGCUCUGGGAUAAGCCUGGGAAACUGGGUCUAAUACUGGAUAUGACUGCGCAUCGCAUGGUGUGUGGUGGAAAGUUUUUUCGGCUGGGGAUGGGCCCGCGGCCUAUCAGCUUGUUGGUGGGGUGAUGGCCUACCAAGGCGACG